CUGCAGCCUCAUUGUGUACCUGGGUGAGAAAGUGGAGGACCUUUUUGAAGAUUGCCAGGAGGACUGCCGCAGUGAUGCCAGGCAACAUGUCCUCAAAAUCCUGGUGGUUCAUGGUGCAGAGGAUCCAGCUGAUGUGGCCAUCGUUGUUGAAGGAAAGGAGAUGAUCGAAGGAUGUGGAUGCACCGCAAAAGCGUGCGCAUUGCUUAUGGGACUCAUUUAUGCCCUCAACCUUGCAUAUCCGCCAGCACUUCAAUACACUUUUGAAGUUUUCCAAAAACUUUUCUUGGAUUUGGAUGGCAUUAAGCUGUCCCCAAAAAUACAAGCUUUAAAGUUGAAAUUGCUGGCUUAAAUGCUUUCACCAGAUCACCAUCUCAACCAGUUGUUGGAAGUUUUUGUCAAAUGCUUUUGGCUUCCCGUUAAGUUGUGUUAUGUGUUGUGUUGUGUAUGUUGUGUGUUUGUCUUUGAGAGCAAGAUAAUAUUGACACAACCACAUCUUUGCAAAAUUUGCCGACAAAUUGAGUGUUUUAUCUUUGAUAUGUUGUAAUACUUGGAGACAAAAACAUUGGGUAGGAGUGGCAUUGAUUGUUAAUUUUACUAAUGGUAAAACAUACUGUCCUUUUAGGAUUCUGGUUUUGUUAGCUCUGUCGCUGUAAAACUUCACCUCCUGUCUCCCUUGUGAUAUUCUCAUUUAUAUUUUAUGCCUUAAACAUGGGUUAAACAUUUUGACAGGCAGUAUGUAUGGUCACCAGUGAUAUUUUAGUUAUU